AAUGUUGGUGUUGUUCCUGCAAAGGCGUCGGUAAUGAUUGGCUAUGUUUGCAAAAGACGAAAGAUGUAAUUCGAUAUGGUUGUAAAGUAUAAUUAACUUUUGAAUUAUCAGGUGUGGAAGAACACAAAACCUAGAACGGGUGGACAUAAACGAGUUAUUUUGGGCAACAUUUCUACAAAUAUUGAUGGUGAAUCCUCUCGUACCCCACAUCCUAUCAAGAAAGGGCGAUUGUUGAAAUCUGCAAAUUUGCGUUCACCAUACUUGCAGCGUGAAAUAAAUACUACAAAGGCGUUGAACAAAAUGGAGAAGGAACUGGGGGUGUAUGCAAUGUACAAAGAUGACGAUGAAGAGAGUGAGGUAAUGUUCUCUUACAAGGAUAUUGAGCUACGCCGUACGGACAUGUGCACCUUGCGUAGGGGAGAAAUUAUAGGGUCUUACCUCAUCAAUGCAUGGUGUGUGAUACUUAAUAGUAAGGAACAAACUCGUUCAAACACGUCGCAUGUUCGCUUUUUUGG